rnacentral:lncRNA from 1 species
UUUUAAGCACAAGAAGGUUUAGGCAGUUAUGAAAUAGCCUGAAAGGAUCUUAUUUGGUCUCCAAACAGUGUGCAGUAUGGCAGAACAGACCUACCCAUGGGGCUGCCGCCGCCAAGACUCCAGGAAGACUGGGGGAGGAGGCUGCCACGACCACCACCAAGGUUCAUGGAAAAUCUAAGCUGUACCUAGCACCCCAGCCGCGAGGGGCCAUGACAGCAGCACUGAGCUACCUGCUAGAAGGAAGCUGGAGUUAGCACUUGGGAAUUCACUCCUGCCUCUUCAGUAAGGGAGUGUUGUGGACUAGUCUCACCUACGACGAGCUGGCAUAAAUUGUGAGCUUUUGAUUUAUGAAGUUUCCUAACAGAGGAACUAGAAAGCUGAUCUGUGGAAGGAAAGACUACACUGACCCCCCCCCUCCCCCCUUUGUCUGUGUUGGUUCUGUUUCCCACGGCUUUGAUGGAAUGCCUGUCAGAAACAAUCGCAGAGUCAAGGUCUGUCGGCUCACAGUUUCAGAGGGUGUUGUUCAGUCCUCAUAGCAGGAGAGACAUUGUGGAGCAGCAGCUUAGUGGCAGCGAGAGCCCAUGGCAGAGCCUUGUUCAUGUUGAACAGAGAACAGGACUGGACACAGGUGGGGGCCAUCAAACCCCACCUCUACCAUCCUGACCUCACCUCCUAAAAUUUCCAAACUUGUCUGCUUGCCUCCGACCUUGCCCUUGCCCUUGCUGGCAGCUUUGUCUGCCCUAUUCCUGUGCUCUCACUGGUAUUAGAACCUAUGUCUUUGGGACUCUGGCUCAGACUGAAGACCAGUUGAGGCAUGGAGCUUCGUGGAUGAAACAACUACAGAAUUCUUGUCCUUUUCCAUCAGGAGACAUUGUUGGACGAGCCAGACCAUAGGCUGUAAGCCAUUCUAAUAAAUCCCCCCCUUUUAAUCUAUAUAUAGAUUCAUUCUAUCAUUCUAUUCUUAGAGAAGCCUGACUAAUACAACCUCUGACGAAAGAAAAGGCAGAGCGAUGGAAGGAGCUAUUCCCAUAAGACGUUUACAAACUGUUCACAGAAGGUGAAAAGAAAAAAAAAGGGAGAACAUUGGAAAGCAAAUGUAUAAAGUAAAAAAAAUGUCUAAAAUGCCACCAACCAGGGCACGGUCCCAGCCCCUCAGCCCUCCCAUCCAACCACUCACUGGAUGGUGUGGGAAUCAUGUGGUCUAAGUCCU